rnacentral:rRNA from 1 species
UACGUAGGGUGCAAGCGUUAAUCGGAAUUACUGGGCGUAAAGCGUGCGCAGGCGGUUUUGUAAGUCUGUCGUGAAAUCCCCGGGCUCAACCUGGGAAUUGCGAUGGAGACUGCAAGGCUAGAAUCUGGCAGAGGGGGGGGUAGAAUUCCACGUGUAGCAGUGAAAUGCGUAGAGAUGUGGAGGAACACCGAUGGCGAAGGCAGCCCCCUGGGUCAAGAUUGACGCUCAUGCACGAAAGCGUGGGGAGCAAACGAGGAUUAGAGU